rnacentral:rRNA from 1 species
UACGGGGGGAGCAAGCGUUGUUCGGAUUUACUGGGCGUAAAGGGCGCGUAGGCGGCCAGCACAAGUCAGUUGUGAAAUCUCCGAGCUUAACUCGGAACGGUCAACUGAUACUGUGCGGCUAGAGUGCGGAAGGGGCAACUGGAAUUCUUGGUGUAGCGGUGAAAUGCGUAGAUAUCAAGAGGAACACCUGCGGCGAAGGCGGGUUGCUGGGCCGACACGUGACGCUGAGGCGCGAAAGCCAGGGGAGCGAACGGG